rnacentral:rRNA from 1 species
GACGAACGCUGGCGGUAUGCUUAACACAUGCAAGUCGAACGAGAAGAGUCAGUUAAGAACCUUCGGGGAAUAAGUGAUUGGAAAGUGGCGAACGGGUGAGUAACGCGUGGGUAACCUGCCCUAUGGAAAGGAAUAGCCUCGGGAAACUGGGAGUAAAGCCUUAUAUUAUGGAGAGAUCGCAUGGUCAUUUCAUGAAAACUCCGGUGCCAUAGGAUGGACCCGCGUCCCAUUAGCUAGUUGGUGAGAUAACAGCCCACCAAGGCGACGAUGGGUAACCGGUCUGAGAGGGCGAACGGUCACACUGGAACUGAGACACGGUCCAG